UGGGGAAUAUUGCACAAUGGGGGGAACCCUGAUGCAGCGACGCCGCGUGGGUGAAGGAGUACUUCGGUACGUAAAGCCCUAUCAGCAGGAAAGAAAAUGACGGUACCUGACUAAGAAGCCCCGGCUAACUACGUGCCAGCAGCCGCGGUAAUACGUAGGGGGCAAGCGUUAUCCGGAUUUACUGGGUGUAAAGGGAGCGUAGACGGCAGUGCAAGUCCGGAGUGAAAGCCCGGGGCUCAACCCUGGGACUGCUCUGGAAACUGUAAAGCUGGAGUGCGGGAGGGGCAGGCGGAAUUCCUGGUG
rnacentral:rRNA from 1 species